rnacentral:lncRNA from 1 species
UUUUCUUAAUUUAAAAUGCAAUACAUCACACAAAUAACGUAAUUAGUACGAUACAAAUUAACUUAAAAUGCAAUACAACACACAAGUUACGUAAUUAAUACGAUGCAAACUAACUUAAAAUACGAAACAACACACAAAUACGAAACAAAUCAUCUUUAAUCCUGAAACAUUCCAAAUUUUGUCCAUAUUUUGAGGAUGUUGGUUGAAAAAUUGAUUUGAAUUUUGAUAAUUGUUGGGAUUUUGAUAAUUGUUGGGGUUUUGAUAAUUGUUGGGAUUUUGAGAAUUGUUGGGAUUUUGAGAAUUGUUGGGAUAAUUAGAAGAAUUGUUGGGAUCCAUUUCACUAAAAAAAGAUUAAAAC